ACCAACGCGCUUUGAGAAACCGAAUUUAAGAAUUAAUGUGAAAAGAAAAUCAAUGAAAUCAAUGAAAUAAGCCAUAAAACAAACAGCAAUUUUUUUCUAAAGCCUCAAGUGGCAACACCAUUUUACUAUUCUCUCUUGUCGCUAGCACGCUUAUUUCUGAUCUUAUUGAUAAUAAUGUGUAGUCAGUACGCGAAUCUGUAGGCGCAAGACCUCCACCCCCAAAGCCGACGAGCAAGUGCCAGACCCUAAUAGCGUGCCCCGCAACUGCAGAUUCCCGAUUUCAUCCAACCAUUACACGCUACAACAGGGCUGCGAAGACGAUUUUGUGGUAUUUUCCACCACCAUUUUCCAGCACUAUUAAGCAGCCCACAACAGCUGAAAAGCGAAUACGGAGCAGAGGAUGUCACCCAAUUUCUGUUGUUUCUGUGGGAGGUGGACAUGUAUGGAAGGAACACCACCUUUCGUACAAGAAAUCGUUGAUCCGACGGCGAGAUACGGCCCAAGUGCGUUGAAAGUCGGUAUAAAAAUAAAAAACCUACAUAAAAAUAUAGAUUGUUAUUAUUGUAUUAUUUUUGUUUUUACUUCGAAGCACUACAAAAGGAUAAAGUCCAUUUUAUCUUACUCAAAAGCGAUCAAUUCAAAAGAAUUAAUAGUCGAAAGCAAUAAGCCAUUAAAUCUCUACCUUUUAAGUGACAUAUAUUUCGCAAGCCUUUAAUUUAGAUUUAGCCAAUGAUCAUGCUACUGUCGAUGCUGAUGAUUAACAAUCCUGCUCUCAACAGAGAAAAAGAAUGAGCAGCGCCAGAGAAAAGCUUCUGGAAAUAGAAAAUAAAAAAAUUACCAUAAUUUUGAAGAUCUGAAAAGGAACGAGUGGCUUAAGUUAUUCGAGCGAAAUAUGAAAAUGGCUAAAACUGAAUAUAAGUAGUGUAAGGAGUUGAAUAACUCCCCACAAAUAGAAGCAGCAGCAGAUGGCCGGCCGCUUACCAGAUACGCGGCGAAGG